CAGGACAGGGUUUGAGUCUAAUGGUCUUCUGUGCGUGACUGACGUUGUUCUUCACGCUGCAGCUGAUGUUUCCAUCAGUUCCCUCAUCCAGAUCAAUGCUGCUGUUUCCAAACAUUGGUCCUUCUUCUAGUACUUUUCCAUUCAGAGUCCAGCUGUAGAUGAGCUGAUCUCCCUCAGAGGAGCAGAACACUGUAGUCUGAUUGGAGGAGCAGAUGAUUGACACUUCCACUGAGCCAAUAGGAGCUAGAGGGAGGGACACAUGACAGUCACAUGACUCUUUCUCAACAUGUUAUCAGUGUCAAUCUCAAAGCAUUUCUAAAAUAAAAUAUAUUGCUGAGAGCUUCUACACCUUCAACAAUCACUUGAAGAUCACUUUUCAUUAACAUAUCUAUCUCAACGACAAAUGAUGUGUAUCUUCCUGAAUCUGCUCUGGUCACAUUGUUUAUGGUCAGAGUCAUAUUAUCAAAGAAGAACUCGGAUCUGUUUCUGAUGGAUUCAUGUGUAUUUAUGAUCAGAGGCACAUUUUUAAAUAACUCAGAUAUGUCUCUGAUGGAUUCAUAAUUAUACUUUUUAUUUUUCUCUAUGCUAAAAACUUUCAGUGUACUGCCAUCAUUUAACGUCUUAUACAAAUCAAGUUCAGUAUAUGAAGGGUUCAGCAUCAUCUGCAGACUGAGUUUGUGUCCCAGAGCUGCGUAACAUUGUUUGAUCGAAUAUGGUUCAUCAAAUGUGCAGAGCUGAUCCAGACCUAAAGAACAAAACACAAACAAGAUGAAAUGUACCAACAUCGACAGACAGAGUCAGAGUGUUACUGCUGGUAGAAAUAUCAUCUCUCUCAUCAUGAAUUUCAACAGACACAAAUUACAUAAACAUUCAUAAUAAGUUCUACGGAAGACACAUAUCAGACUCUUGAUCUCAUAUCAGGUUUAUCAAAUGAUAAAAAAAAUUAAGUUUUUCUACAUGUCCUGAAACUUUUUGAAAACAACUGAAGAAAUAGUAGAAGGCAUGUACAACACACACAAAAGCAUAAUUUAAUUCAUAUAACAUUAAAUACAUGUACAGCAGCCAGAACAUCAGAGGUUGACAGAUCCAAUGUUGAUACCGGACCUGAGAUAUUUCAAGACGGCGAACCCAGCGUUGCGGACAACGCUGCUGACUGGACCGAUACGCAAAUAAAUGCCUGGCAAAGGGCUGGUUGGUCGAGUGGCCGCAGUGAA
ensembl:lncRNA